rnacentral:rRNA from 1 species
UACAGAGACUGCAAGCGUUGUUCGGAUUCAUUGGGCGUAAAGGGUGCGCAGGCGGUCGGUUAAGUCCGAUGUGAAAUCUCCGAGCCUAACUCGGAAAAGUCAUUGGAAACUAGCCGGCUUGAGGACUGGAGAGGAGACUGGAAUGGUUGGUGUAGCAGUGAAAUGCGUAGAGAUCAACCAGAACACCGGUGGCGAAGGCGGGUCUCUGGACAGUUCCUGACGCUCAGGCACGAAAGCCAGGGGAG